GUGUGCUUCCAUUUAUGCUCUUGCCUUGGGCUGCAGAAAUGUUAGGGCAGGCCUGGAAGCAAGGCACAGAGAUGGUUCUGAGCCGACAGAAGAGAGACAGAAAGGUCCAGAGGUGUAAUUUGGGAAUCCAAUCACAAGCAGGCAUAAGGCAGCCAAGAAGGAUGAGCCGGUGAUCUCUGCAGUCUGCCCAUAACUCCACACAAAACUUUACCCAUUGUCACAGGAGAGUAUAAGCAUAGCAUAAAGAUCCUCAUAGAUGGACUUUCAGCUCCAUGCUUAAAGCAACUGACAAGAAUCCAUUUCUUUUCAGUGUACAAGUGAAGGGUAAAAGACAGAGAAGGAAGACAGAGCAUAGGAAAAAGAGUGGGGUGAUAUUUGUCCAUUCAUUUGUUGAAAAAAUGGUUAAAUAAAGGAAUGAAUGACUAAAGACCAGAUUGGCAGGUGAAAGCCAGGGCAGGGGCCUGCAGCAGGCAGAGACACAGCUCACACAAAUGCAAGAGGAAGACGAAUCAGGCACUCGUCUGUUCUUCAAAGGAUACAGAAUUGUUUUAUUGACCACCUGUACAUGUGAUGGUUUUCAUCCUGGAGGAGAAGGGCAUAUCCACACCUACCGAAUAUCUAUUUCACAGGCAAUGUGCCAAUUAUUUACAUGCAUAAUCUCAGUAAAUCCUUAGACAACUCUGUGGAGGCAUUUACUGAUAUCUCCAUUUUACCCAGGAGGACACUGAGGUCCAGAGAGAUUAAACCAUUUGUCUGAGGUCACACGGCCAGUGAAUUUUUGAUGCAGGAUUUAAAUCCAAGUCUGUCUCUUACCACUGUAUCAUGCUGUUUUCAGAGGUGAGGGGAGAUGUCUUAAGAGUACCAUAUGGCUUCUACCACUGGGGAGACCACUGUCAAAUUCCAAGAGGAAGAUCAUGAGGGUCUCAACUGAAUUACUGAAGGGGAGAUUGUGUGAGAAGAGACAGAUUUAAGACCUAUCUGCAGGGUAGAAAUUGGAUUGGUGAACUUAAUACAAUGUUUCUUUAUUCAUUCAUUUAUUCAUUUCAAUAUUCAAUGAGUUUUAUUAUGUGUCAAGACACCGCAUUUAGUUGGCCCAGGGAAGAAUAAAUGUGAAUAGGACACUGCAUUCAAUGAAUGCUGAUUCUAGAAUGAGCAGCAAACUAAAUCCAGUAAUGAUACUACAGCAUCACCACAUACUUUCAAUUCUACCUUUUAAAUAUCUCAAUCUAUUUCUUCUUUUCUACCCUCACUGACAUGUGGUUCACAGACCUCAUUCUCUCUCACCCAUUGCUGUAGCAGUCUCAUACCAGGCCUUCCCAUCUUGUAUGUGGCACUAACUCAAGUAUAAGGCCAUUUCAUGGUUUUCUGCCAAGAACUGUUUUCUCAGCUCAUUGGCAAAACAAACACAGCUUCAGUUCCUAACCUGAAAAGUUUAUGCAUGAAGAAUUUAAAAUAUUACUAAUCUUUUAUUCAACAUAUAUUUUUUGAACACCUACUAUGUGUGAAGCCUUGAGCAGGCACCAAGUAUGUCACUGCAAGAGGCAUGGCCUGUCUUUGAGGGAGGUACAGACAAGUAAAUAGGCAACCCUAAUACAGUGCUAUAAGUGUAAAUUCCUAAAAUAGUUUAAUGGGGUAAAUUUUGGUAGAAUAUAGGAGGGGCAUUUCUUCCAAACUAAGAGUCAGAUGGAGGAAAUGACAUUUAAACAAAAAAAUGAGAGAAAUAUGUAUGUUUGGAGAUGCUUUCCAACAGAACAUUUCAUCCUACUAAAAAAUAUUUUGAAUGUAUCUUUUGAGAUAUAGGGAGCUAGAAACAUUAAAGAAAAUAUUGUGCUAUUUUUUUCUGGAACUUGAAAACAGAACAGAUUAUAUCAUGGGGAAUGUUUCCUCACUAAUGACUUUAAUAAAAACUCAAAAUCUA